AUUGUCUCGCUUGACAGGGUCUAAAAGUGAGACAAAGGUAUGCUGCUUCUGGCAUCCACCACAGCAGCAGCAAUGUAUUUUAAAAUUUGUGAUUAGAUCUAGUUAAUGUGGUUAACUACAAGUUGUAGAUCAAUCAUAUUUGGUAUGCAGUCCUUUAUUUUAGUCCUAUUAGUAUUGGCACAUCUCAUUUCCAUAGAGAUUAUUGGACCCUCCCCCCGC
rnacentral:lncRNA from 1 species